AAAGCUCAAAUUUGAAAUCUGGCUGUCGUAUGGCAGUCCGAGUUGUAAUUUCGAGAAGCAUUGCCCGUGCCGGACCGUGCAUAAGUCCUCUGGAAAGGGGUAUCAUAGAGGGUGACAAUCCCGUCUUUGGUACGGACUCCCGGUGCAUUGUGGUAUGCUCUCAACGAGUCGAGUUGUUUGGGAAUGCAGCUCAAAAUGGGUGGUAAAUUCCAUCUAAAGCUAAAUAUUGGCGUGAGACCGAUAGCGAA
rnacentral:rRNA from 1 species